rnacentral:rRNA from 1 species
AGUCGAGCGAGCUUGCCUAGAUGAUUUUAGUGCUUGCACUAAAUGAAACUAGAUACAAGCGAGCGGCGGACGGGUGAGUAACACGUGGGUAACCUGCCCAAGAGACUGGGAUAACACCUGGAAACAGAUGCUAAUACCGGAUAACAACACUAGACGCAUGUCUAGAGUUUGAAAGAUGGUUCUGCUAUCACUCUUGGAUGGACCUGCGGUGCAUUAGCUAGUUGGUAAGGUAACGGCUUACCAAGGCAAUGAUGCAUAGCCGAGUUGAGAGACUGAUCGGCCACAUUGGGACUGAGACACGGCCCAAACUCCUACGGGAGGCAGCAGUAGGGAAUCUUCCACAAUGGACGAAAGUCUGAUGGAGCAACGCCGCGUGAGUGAAGAAGGGUUUCGGCUCGUAAAGCUCUGUUGGUAGUGAAGAAAGAUAGAGGUAGUAACUGGCCUUUAUUUGACGGUAAUUACUUAGAAAGUCACGGCUAACUACGUGCCAGCAGCCGCGGUAAUACGUAGGUGGCAAGCGUUGUCCGGAUUUAUUGGGCGUAAAGCGAGUGCAGGCGGUUCAAUAAGUCUGAUGUGAAAGCCUUCGGCUCAACCGGAGAAUUGCAUCAGAAACUGUUGAACUUGAGUGCAGAAGAGGAGAGUGGAACUCCAUGUGUAGCGGUGGAAUGCGUAGAUAUAUGGAAGAACACCAGUGGCGAAGGCGGCUCUCUGGUCUGCAACUGACGCUGAGGCUCGAAAGCAUGGGUAGCGAACAGGAUUAGAUACCCUGGUAGUCCAUGCCGUAAACGAUGAGUGCUAAGUGUUGGGAGGUUUCCGCCUCUCAGUGCUGCAGCUAA